rnacentral:rRNA from 1 species
GGCUUAGAAGCAGCCAUCAUUUAAAGAAAGCGUAAUAGCUCACUGGUCGAGUCGGCCUGCGCGGAAGAUGUAACGGGGCUAAACCAUGCACCGAAGCUGCGGCAGCGACACUGUGUGUUGUUGGGUAGGGGAGCGUUCUGUAAGCCUGUGAAGGUGGCCUGUGAGGGUUGCUGGAGGUAUCAGAAGUGCGAAUGCUGACAUAAGUAACGAUAAAGCGGGUGAAAAGCCCGCUCGCCGGAAGACCAAGGGUUCCUGUCCAACGUUAAUCGGGGCAGGGUGAGUCGACCCCUAAGGCGAGGCCGAAAGGCGUAGUCGAUGGGAAACGGGUUAAUAUUCCCGUACUUGGUGUUACUGCGAAGGGGGGACGGAGAAGGCUAUGUUGGCCGGGCGACGGUUGUCCCGGUUUAAGCGUGUAGGUGUGUGUUCCAGGUAAAUCCGGUUCACUUUAACACUGAGGCGUGACGACGAGGCACUACGGUGCUGAAGCAACAAAUGCCCUGCUUCCAGGAAAAGCCUCUAAGCAUCAGGUAACAUCAAAUCGUACCCCAAACCGACACAGGUGGUCAGGUAGAGAAUACCAAGGCGCUUGAGAGAACUCGGGUGAAGGAACUAGGCAAAAUGGUGCCGUAACUUCGGGAGAAGGCACGCUGACACGUAGGUGAAGUGAUUUACUCACGGAGCUGAAGUCAGUCGAAGAUACCAGCUGGCUGCAACUGUUUAUUAAAAACACAGCACUGUGCAAACACGAAAGUGGACGUAUACGGUGUGACGCCUGCCCGGUGCCGGAAGGUUAAUUGAUGGGGUCAGCGCAAGCGAAGCUCCUGAUCGAAGCCCCGGUAAACGGCGGCCGUAACUAUAACGGUCCUAAGGUAGCGAAAUUCCUUGUCGGGUAAGUUCCGACCUGCACGAAUGGCGUAAUGAUGGCCAGGCUGUCUCCACCCGAGACUCAGUGAAAUUGAACUCGCUGUGAAGAUGCAGUGUACCCGCGGCAAGACGGAAAGACCCCGUGAACCUUUACUAUAGCUUGACACUGAACAUUGAGCCUUGAUGUGUAGGAUAGGUGGGAGGCUUUGAAGCGUGGACGCCAGUCUGCGUGGAGCCGACCUUGAAAUACCACCCUUUAAUGUUUGAUGUUCUAACGUGGACCCGUGAUCCGGGUUGCGGACAGUGUCUGGUGGGUAGUUUGACUGGGGCGGUCUCCUCCUAAAGAGUAACGGAGGAGCACGAAGGUUGGCUAAUCCUGGUCGGACAUCAGGAGGUUAGUGCAAUGGCAUAAGCCAGCUUGACUGCGAGCGUGACGGCGCGAGCAGGUGCGAAAGCAGGUCAUAGUGAUCCGGUGGUUCUGAAUGGAAGGGCCAUCGCUCAACGGAUAAAAGGUACUCCGGGGAUAACAGGCUGAUACCGCCCAAGAGUUCAUAUCGACGGCGGUGUUUGGCACCUCGAUGUCGGCUCAUCACAUCCUGGGGCUGAAGUAGGUCCCAAGGGUAUGGCUGUUCGCCAUUUAAAGUGGUACGCGAGCUGGGUUUAGAACGUCGUGAGACAGUUCGGUCCCUAUCUGCCGUGGGCGCUGGAGAACUGAGGGGGGCUGCUCCUAGUACGAGAGGACCGGAGUGGACGCAUCACUGGUGUUCGGGUUGUCAUGCCAAUGGCACUGCCCGGUAGCUAAAUGCGGAAGAGAUAAGUGCUGAAAGCAUCUAAGCACGAAACUUGCCCCGAG